AUCAACUUUCGAUGGUAGGAUAGAGGCCUACCAUGGUGGUAACGGGUAACGGGGUGUUAGGGCACGACACCGGAGAGGGAGCCUGAGAAACGGCUACCACAUCCAAGGAUGGCAGCAGGCGCGCAAAUUACCCAAUCCCGACACGGGGAGGUAGUGACAAUAAAUAACAAUACGGGGUUCUUUCGGAUUUCGUAAUUGGAAUGAGUACAAUUUAAAUCUCUUAACGAGGAACAAUUGGAGGGCAAGUCUGGUGCCAGCAGCCGCGGUAAUUCCAGCUCCAAUAGCGUAUAUUAAAGUUGUUGCAGUUAAAAAGCUCGUAGUUGAAUUUCGGAAUCUGUCCGUCGGUCGGGCUUCACUGUCCGUACUGGUGUGGUGGGUUCUUACCUUCUGAAUAACCAGCAUGCCAUUAAUUUGGUGCGUUGGGGAAGCAGGACUAUUACCUUGAAAAAAUUAGAGUGCUCAAAGCAGGCUAGUGCCUGAAUACAUUAGCAUGGAAUAAUAAAAUAGGACGGCAUGGUUCUAUUUUGUUGGUUUCUAGGAUCACCGUAAUGAUUAAUAGGGAUAGUUGGGGGCAUUAGUAUUCAAUUGUCAGAGGUGAAAUUCUUGGAUUUAUUGAAGACUAACUUCUGCGAAAGCAUUUGCCAAGGAUGUUUUCAUUAAUCAAGAACGAAAGUUAGGGGAUCGAAGACGAUCAGAUACCGUCGUAGUCUUAACCAUAAACUAUGCCGACUAGGGAUCGGACGAUGUUAAUUUUUUAAUGACUCGUUCGGCGCCUUACGGGAAACCAAAGUGUUUGGGUUC
rnacentral:rRNA from 1 species